GAAAGAGAAUCCAUAUAGCCGAUCUCAAAUUUUUGGGAUAAGAAUUUAGUUGAGUUAAGUUGAGUUAAUUUUUUUUUUACCGGGUAUUACUUUUGCACUAUGAAUCACGUUAGUCCACUGCCCUGUUCAACCACAUUUAGAUAUUGAGGGGUUAUUGUGCUUCAGGUGUGAUUUAAGAAUAUUUCAGUAGCAAACUAUAGGCUUGUCAUAUUGGUGAAUGAGAGAACUUUUUGACAGAGGUAGACCUAUUGUUACAUUGUCCUUGGCAGAUGCAUAACUGGAGAGAUUUUAGUUUGCUAAUUGUAAUUCUCUUUGUUUUGUAUUUUUUUUACCCCAUUUUAUUUAUUUUUACAUAAUUUAUUCUAUUACCUAGAGGUGGUUCAUUUAUGUUCCUGGUAACAUUCUUUAUGUUUUCUCAAUAAAUUCUUUGUUUAUGAA
rnacentral:misc_RNA from 1 species